rnacentral:rRNA from 1 species
CCUACGGGAGGCUGCAGUGGGGAAUAUUGGACAAUGGGGGCAACCCUGAUCCAGCCAUGCCGCGUGUGUGAAGAAGGCCCUCGGGUUGUAAAGCACUUUCAGUGAGGAAGAACGCCUGGUGGUUAAUACCCAUCAGGAAAGACAUCACUCACAGAAGAAGCACCGGCUAACUCCGUGCCAGCAGCCGCGGUAAUACGGAGGGUGCGAGCGUGAAUCGGAAUUACUGGGCGUAAAGCGCGCGUAGGUGGCUUGAUAAGCCGGUUGUGAAAGCCCCGGGCUCAACCUGGGAACGGCAUCCGGAACUGUCAAGCUAGAGUGCAGGAGAGGAAGGUAGAAUUCCCGGUGUAGCGGUGAAAUGCGUAGAGAUCGGGAGGAAUACCAGUGGCGAAGGCGGCCUUCUGGACUGACACUGACACUGAGGUGCGAAAGCGUGGGUAGCAAACAGGAUUAGAUACCCCAGUAGUC